rnacentral:lncRNA from 1 species
AGCUGGCAACUUUCACCUUUACUACUUUAAUUUCUUCAAAGAAAAGUUCAUAAGUUCAUCUCCUCAGUAUCUUCAAAUCUUCAUCGCCACCCCUCAGUCUCAAAUUUUUUGAUCUCCUCUUCUUCAACCAAAGCAAUUUUAUGAAGAAUUGGCUUGAGGAUGACAAACACAAAAAUUGGGUUUGCAGAAAUUGAAGAUCGAAGAUGAAUAUGAACAUAGUGAGAAGCAUCGAUCCAUUCGUGGUGUUGGAGAAACUGGGUUUGCAGAAACUGGGUUCUUUUUUCUAGAAAGAAAUUCACCUUUUUAGAUCUAAAGUUGUGUUGUUUGAUUUUGAUCAAAAUUGUUUUUGGGUUUGUUUGAAGGAGAUGUUUAUGGGUUUGAUUUUGAUUCUAUCAAAUUGUGUUUGAAAUAUUUAUGAUGUUAUUGUUGAAUGGUGUAAGAGGCUUUGUUUUGAGAAAUCAGUGAAAGAGGAACAUGAAUAGGAAUCAAACGAGAACAAGGGGAAAGAGGCUUUGUUUUAUAGAUUAUUCAUGGUGUGUUUUU